rnacentral:rRNA from 1 species
UACGUAGGGGGCAAGCGUUGUCCGGAAUCAUUGGGCGUAAAGCGCGUGUAGGCGGUUCGGUAAGUCGGCUGUGAAAGUCCAGGGCUCAACCCUGGGAUGCCGGUCGAUACUGCCGGACUAGAGUUCGGAAGAGGCGAGUGGAAUUCCCGGUGUAGCGGUGAAAUGCACAGAUAUCGGGAGGAACACCAAUGGCGAAGGCAGCUCGCUGGGACGUUACUGACGCUGAGACGGCGAAAGCGUGGGGAGCAAAC